rnacentral:rRNA from 1 species
AUUGAACGCUGGCGGCAGGCCUAACACAUGCAAGUCGAGCGAGCGGCGGACGGGUGAGUAAUGUAUGGGGACUGCCCGAUAGAGGGGGAUAACUACUGGAAACGGUGGCUAAUACCGCAUACUAUCGGAUAACCCAUAUGGGAUUAGCUAGUGGGUGGGGUAAAGGCUCACCUAGGCGACGAUCUCUAGCGGGUCUGAGAGGAUGAUCAGCUACACUGGGACUGAGACACGGCCCAGACUCCUGCGGAGGCAGCAGGGGGAAAUAUUGCACAAGGGGCACAAGCCUGAGGCAGCCAUGCCGCGUGUAUGAAGAGGGCCUUAGGGUUGUAAAGUACUUUCAGCGGGGAGGCGUUACCGGAAGAAGAAGCACCGGCUAACACCGUGCCAGCAGCCGCGUAAUUC